rnacentral:lncRNA from 1 species
ACGCAUAUGGCCCACUUUCCAUAGACACACUUAUCGUCUCCCAUCGCCUUACUCUUAUCGCCUCUCAUCGCUUUUCAUGUUCUGGGCCCAUCAAUCAUAGACACACAAAUCGCUUCUCAUCGCCUCUUCAACCAUUGUAAAAACAUUCUACGUUUUAAUAUACCCAUUGCAGCAAUAAAAAGAAGAAGAAAAUCAGAAAUCAGAACAGAGUAGAGCGGGCAGCGUAUCCUCACCUUCUUCUCAACCUCAGAGGGAGGGGCAGGGAACUGGGCCUGGAGCCCCUCGCGGCAGCAAAAAGAAGGAAAAAAAAUCAGAAAUCGGAACAGAGAGUGGAGCGGGCGCCCGCUCGCUGGCUCGCUCGGGCGUAGCGACAGCACCGCUCGUCCUUUGUACUGCAACCCUAAAAAAACUUCUAUUCUAUUUUUUAGCCAUCAUAAGAUUCCGGAUUAGCGGACAGAAUAUGCUGGC